rnacentral:rRNA from 1 species
UGGCGGCAUGCUUAACACAUGCAAGUCGAACGGUAACAGGCCGCUGUGAUCCCUUCGGGGUGAACUUGGUGCUGACGAGUGGCGGACGGGUGAGUAAUGCAUAGGAAUCUGCCCAGUAGUGGGGGACAACCUGGGGAAACCCAGGCUAAUACCGCAUACGACCUACGGGUGAAAGUGGGGGAUCUUCGGACCUCACGCUAUCGGAUGAGCCUAUGUCUGAUUAGCUUGUUGGUGGGGCAAUGGCCUACCAAGGCGACGAUCAGUAGCUGGUCUGAGAGGACGAUCAGCCACACUGGGACUGAGACACGGCCCAGACUCCUACGGGAGGCAGCAGUGGGGAAUAUUGGACAAUGGGGGCAACCCUGAUCCAGCAAUGCCGCGUGUGUGAAGAAGGCCUGCGGGUUGUAAAGCACUUUCAGUAGAGAAGAAAAGCCUGAGGUUAAUACCCUCGGGUCUUGACGUAACCUACAGAAGAAGCACCGGCUAACUCCGUG